UCCAGAUUGAAAUGGAAUAUGUUAGAUGAGGAUCGAAAUUAAUAAUCGAUUUCAGUUUGAAAUUUCAACUCGCCAAUAGUUUUGCCAAGAGUUUUCUUUUUCGUUUUUUGUCCUAGAGGCAACGGAUCGAUGUUGGUUGUAUUCUGAAUAUUGUAUUUCCUUUUUCGAUAGUGAAGUUCUCUUCUCUCUCGCCCGUAGUUUUUUCUUAUAAAGAAUUUUUCACGUAAAUCUAUGUAUUCUUUUAUUUCCGCUUGUGGUUCGUUUAUUUUGUGUUCGCCAUUUUCGUUUUCUGCUUGUGCGCUUGUCGUAACAAAAUAUGGAGAUGAAUUAUUUAGAUGCCACAGUGCAUCAAACUGACAGAAAU
rnacentral:lncRNA from 1 species